UGGUGCCAAGGUUGUCUGGCUAUUUAUCUUACUUUUGUUUCUUUCCAACUCUUUGCUUUCUCUCUUUCCUCCUGUCUUGUGAACUAGGCAAGGUGGACAGCAGGAGUAGCAGUGGUCUCCUUCCUUACCAGGUGGACCCCUUCUGAACCUCAACAGUGGUGACUGGUGGUUUCUGUAAUGAAAUUUCAAUUUGACCCUCAUCUGAGAAGAGUGUCUGGUAACGUAAAGCUCAGGACCUGCGCCCGAUCUCUCACGAAAGCUUAUGUCCAAUUUCCGUCUGGUGCCAGCCCACUCGAAGGACAGCUAAAUGUCUAGGAAAGUCCUACUGGCAGUGUAGCGAUGAGACUGCCGUUCCAGGGGGUAAGGAAGAGGCACAAGACGGGGCCGUUGUGCAGACUUCUAAAGAAGGAACUCGUGUUAUUAAAACUGAGCUCAUUGCCUCUGUUGACAUUUGCGGAGGGAUGACCACGCCAGCUACCAAAGAAGAGACAACAUCCAGCAGCAGCCACUCCCGCAGGACUCCAGGGAACAAGGACGGAAUGAGAAUUGAGAAGCAGAGCUGAGCUGUGACUGAAGCACUGGGCUGGCUACCACACAGCAUCCCUGUGACACUCAGAUGCCAGCUAACGUGUUCU